GAGAAUUUUUCUCAAUGGGGGAAACCCUGAAGGAGCGACGCCGCGUGGAGGAUGAAGGUCUUCGGAUUGUAAACUCCUGUCAUUUGAGAACAAGUGUUUCCGGGUCACUACCGGGGACUUGAUAGUAUCAGAAGAGGAAGAGGCGGCUAACUCUGUGCCAGCAGCCGCGGUAAUACAGAGGCCUCAAGCGUUGUUCGGAUUCAUUGGGCGUAAAGGGAGCGUAGGCGGUCGGGUAAGUCGGAUGUGAAAUCCUGGGGCUCAACCUCAGAACUGCAUUCGAUACUGCUUGGCUAGAGGACUGGAGAGGUGAGUGGAAUUCACGGUGUAGCAGUGAAAUGCGUAGAUAUCGUGAGGAAGACCAGCGGCGAAGGCGGCUCACUGGACAGUUUCUGACGCUGAUGCUCGAAGGCCAGGGGAGCAAA
rnacentral:rRNA from 1 species